AGUGAACGCUGGCGGCGUGCCUAAUACAUGCAAGUCGAACGAGUGGGCACGGGUGAGUAAUGUAUAGCUAAUCUCCCUACACUAGAGACAACAGUUGGAAACGACUGCUAAACCGAUACUGAUGGAUGGACCCGCGGUGCAUUAGCUAGUUGGUGAGGUAACGGCUCACCAAGGCCACGAUGCAUAGCCGACCUGAGAGGGUGAUCGCCGACACUGGGACUGAGACACGGCCCAGACUCCUACGGGAGGCAGCAGUAGGGAAUAUUGCUCAAUGGGGGAAACCCUGAAGCAGCAACGCCGCGUGGAGGAUGACACUUUUCGGAGCGUAAACUCCUUUUGUUAGGGAAGGUACCUAACGAAUAAGCACCGGCUAACUCCGUGCCAGCAGCCGCGGUAAUAC
rnacentral:rRNA from 1 species